ensembl:lncRNA uncharacterized LOC110070251
CUCGUCGUAGGUCCUACCUUAUGCUGGGGCAGUUCUAGAAAAGAAUCACCACCUUGCUUUUUGAAACUGGGGAUUUUAAAAAAAUCAAGUUUGUAGCUGUUCUGCUUCAGGAAGAAGCCCCCAUGGUAUCUGGAACUGCCAUCAAGGAGAUCUCUGGUGAAGUGAUCUGUUCCAUCUGCUUAGAAUAUUUCACAGACCUGGUGAUUCUUGUAGGCUGUGGGCACUGCUUCUGCCAAGCCUGCCUCACCCAGUACUGGCCGGACUCUGAUACAGAGUUUUCCUGCCCUCACUGCAAAGGAGUAGUUUGAGAAAGGAACUUCAAGCCGAACCGGUCACUGGCAAACAUUAACAUUGUCAAACUGGAGGAAGAAGAAAGAGCAGAAGAGAAAACUGUGUGCAAGGAAGAGGAAGAUCCCGUUGCCUUGGGAUAUGAGAAAUCCGGGGAGCAUCGGGCUGAUGGCGAAUUUCCUGUGGAUGAGACAUCCCAAGAGAGUAAGAUGACUGAAAGUGAAGGGACAGGAACCAUCAACGGCCGCAAGGGCCGUGGCGUUUCAUGGCGACACAAGGAGACCUUGGAUCUACUGGAUAUCUGGGGAGAGCAGAAGAUCCAGGACCAGCUCCGAAGCAGCCACCGGAAUAUUGAUUUUUUUGAGUACAUUGCCCAGGAGAUGACCACCCGAGGCCACCAUCGUACUGCCGUAGAGUGCCGUUCCAAGACCAAAAUCAUGCGGCUGGAGUAUAAGCGUGUGAUUGGUCACAAUUCCAGGGCAGGGAGCAAUAAGGUGACUUGCCCUUUCUACAAGCAACUGCACCGCAUCCUUCGUGGAGAUGCCAGCGUCAGACCCAAGCGGGUUUCACGAAGCCUGAAUUUCAAACAGGGCCCACAGCAAGAAGCUGUACCAGAUCCCCCAGUUAUGGAGGAGCAGUUCUCUCCUGGGGAUCUAAACAUAAUUAACAUUGGAGACUAUCUCAAAAAGGAAAGCAUAGAACCUCCUGCUGUCCCUUCAAAGGAACCCGAGCCUCCCACCACUCGACUCUCCUUGAUUAGGAACAAAAAGAAGAGGGAAAGGGCAGAGAGCAUGUUUCAGCUCUUCAUGGAGCAGGCCCGAGAGGACUCCCAAAAAGAGCAGGAGGAGAUGGCGCGGGACAGAGUUGUACUGGCCAGGUUUCUGACGGCAUUUGAGCGAGACGCCGCAGACAGCCGAGAGGAGAGGAGGCCGUGCCUGGAGGCGAUGCGUGCCAACUGCGAUAUGUUGCAGGGCAUCGUGAAUGGCUUAAACAAGCUGACGGACGCCAUCGCCGGCCAGCAGCAAGCCAGCACCGGGAGCCAAGCUAGACCCCCCUUGCAUUCGGCCACUCACAAAGAUUUGCCCCUCAAUUCCACUCUGGGCGCAAGGAGUGGCUUACUCCAAGAAGUGCCACGUUCAUACCCUACCAGCAAUGCCAGUGCGGCACCAAAAAGCGGCUCUCGGAAGCCUAGCCAUGGGACUCACCCUCUUCCAAGGGUGAUGUGUAAUCUCGGGUAACAGAUGACAAAGUGUCUUUGUUAAGAUUUCGUGACAAUGAAAGGUAGACCAGGCUAAGGGAGAAGGAAGUUGGGGAAAGCGGGAAGCUUUGGAAGAGGGCCCUUCCAGAAGUGUGGAAGCUUGGUGGCUUUUGCAGAUAGACAAGUCUGAAGCCCAAGGAUACCUGCAUGCACUAGGCGGGAAAUCACAGCGUACUUAAAGUAGCUUUCUCUUUAUGCUGUACCGGCCAGUGCUUCCAGGCAGAGCCACCUCCCAUCGUCCCCAGGAUUUUCUCUCGGCAGGUGCUAAAACAGCAAAGAAAACCAACUUCCAUCAGGGAGGGCCAUUCUGACAAUGAGGUGGAGAACACAUUGGCUUUCCAUCAGCCUGAGCCAAAGUGAACACAGGUGGGGGAUGAGGAGAGUUGCAGUCCACUACCCAAAGGUUUCUGACCCCUUUUUUUCUAAAACAUAAAUCUCAUUUCACCCUUCCCCCCCCCAAAAAAAAAUCCAUUAUGAUCAGUGGACCACAAUCUCUGGUUAACCCCAUGUAGGUGAGACUCUCUCUCUUUCUCUCUUUCUCCCCCCCCCCCCUUUCUCCUAGGCACACCCUUGUGUGUGUAUAUUAGAGAAAAUUUGCGAAGUAGUUGGUUCCCAGUCAUCCCAGUUUUGGCCUCUGAUCUGCCCCAUCGGUCUAAUUGAAGGGGGCUGGUUGUGAGGGGACAGACUCCCCCUCAGAGUGUUCUUCUAAAGUCGGGGAGCAAACCAAGUCUUCUUCGACGUGCUCAGACAUAACACCGUGCAUGAGCUCCUUACCCUAUUAAAACAGCCAGUUUCUUUAGAGGUCUCAGGCGGUGGAAAAUAUGGCGGGUGAUAUCUCUGGACGUUUCAUAGCUGUCCAUCUUGAAUUAUAGCACGUUGGGUGGGAUAGGCUAUAUACUGAAGUGUUUCUUGGGGGAACGCAGUGAACCAGGUCUUUCCACGUUGAUGGAAACCUUUCAGCGAUCCUGUGAAGGCACUUU